rnacentral:rRNA from 1 species
UACGGAGGGUGCGAGCGUUGUCCGGAAUCAUUGGGCGUAAAGGGCGCGUAGGUGGCCCGGUCAGUUCGUGGUGAAAGCGCGGGGCUCAACUCCGCGUCGGCCAUGAAUACUGCUGGGCUUGAGCACUGUAGAGGCAGGCGGAAUUCCGGGUGUAGCGGUGUAAUGCGUAGAGAUCCGGAAGAACACCGGUGGCGAAGGCGGCCUGCUGGGCAGUAGCUGACACUGAGGCGCGACAGCGUGGGGAGCAAACAGG